rnacentral:rRNA from 1 species
GGAUUAGAUACCCUGGUAGUCCACGCCGUAAACGAUGAGCACUAGUUGUUGCGGGUAUUGACCCCUGCAGUGACGAAGCUAACGCAUUAAGUGCUCCGCCUGGGGACUACGGCCGCAAGGCUAAAACUCAAAGGAAUUGACGGGGGCCCGCACAAGCGGUGGAGUAUGUGGUUUAAUUCGACAACGCGCAGAACCUUACCCGGCCUUGACAUCGAGGGAAAGCCCUAUGAAAGUAGGGCCCUCUUCUUCGGAAGACCCGAAGACAGGUGCUGCAUGGCUGUCGUCAGCUCGUGUCG